GGACCCAGAGGAGAGCCCGCUGUAGAUUCCGUGGGGCCUCAUGGCGGCCCCUCUGCUGGGGUGGUGACGGCUCCCCGGUGCUCAGCUUGGAAUGCAGUGAGAUCCUGGCUGAGUUUGCCUCUCGCACCUGAUCUGAGUGUUCUGUGACUCCUGUGCUACACCCGUCCCUGGCAUUGCUUUUUUCUUUUUAAAAAUAUUUAUUUAUUUGAAAGUCAGAGUCACAUAGAGAGAAGGAGAGGCAGAGAGAGAGAGAGAGAGAGAGAGAGAGAGGUCUUCGAUCUGCUGAUUCACCCCCCAACUGGCUGCAGUGGCCGAAGCUGCGCUGAUCCGAAGCCAGGAGCCAGGAGCCUCCUCUGGGUCUCCCACACAGGUGCAGGGGCCCAAGGACUUGAGCCAUCCUCCACUGCCUUCCCAGGCCAUAGCAGAGAGUGGGAUCAGAAGUGGAGCAGCCAGGACCCGAACCGGUGCCCAUAGGGGAUGCCAGCACCUCAGGUGACUUCUCCACCUGCUACACCACAGCGCUGGCCCCCGUCCCUGGCAUUUCAGUCGUGGCCUCAGAUCCCUGCUCCUUGAAACGAAAUAUGCUUCUAUGUUAUAGAAGUGUUUAAAGGUGAUACUUGGUCAUUCCAGAAAGUAGAAAAUAAAAGUGAGCAAAAAUAAGAAAAUCGGUUUCAAUCAUAAAUCCCAGAGCCGGUGGGAACCCAGGAUUCCUGGACAGAUGUGAUCGAGGAGCCGUAGCAUCCCGGGAGAAAGUGGCGGGAGCACCCUGUGCACAGCUGGGGACCAGCGCUUCCUGGGCGCCCGCAGCCUCCUUGCCCUCGUCGCAGUGGCAGCCGCUGUCCGGGCCGUGUGCCUCCUGGUGACUGGGACAGGAGGUGCCCGUCCCUGAGCUCUGUCCAGCCUUGACCGGGACAGGAGGUGCCCGUCCCUGAGCUCCGUCCAGCCUUGACCGGGGCAGGAGGUGCCCGUCCCUGAGCUCCGUCCAGCCUUGACCGGGACAGGAGGUGCCCGUCCCUGAGCUCCGUCCAGCCUUGACCGGGGCAGGAGGUGCCCGUCCCUGAGCUCCGUCCAGCCUUGACCGGGGCAGGAGGUGCCCGUCCCUGAGCUCCGUCCAGCCUUGACCGGGGCAGGAGGUGCCCGUCCCUGAGCUCUGUCCGCGCCGUUGCUCCUCUGCUCUCCCAGUGGGCAGCUCUUCGUGCUCCAGGGGUUCGCACGGCUCUGCCUGGUUUACCAUCAGGGCUCCCGUUUUGCAUCCGGUCGUGUUGAUUUGCCUGCAUCCCGGGCCCUGCUUUAGCCUCUAAUGGUGUAAUUAUUUACGUGUGCGUUCACGUGUAUUAAAGAUACUCGCCUCCCAGUGCCUGGUG